GGGGCCGUGGUCUAGCAAGGUAGGACGACAUCGGGCCAAGGCCCGACGUUAAGGGCUCCAGAAGCCAUGGUACGGGUCUGCGGACCACUGGGAUGACGAUCUUCUGGAGCGAGAGACCCGUUGGUCGGGGGUUCAAGUCCCCCCGGCCCCACCA
rnacentral:tRNA from 1 species